UACCAACUAAAAAGGGAGAUAAGUACUCUAUCACAGUCAAAUGCUUCUGUUAUGGUAUAUUUUACUAAAUUAAAGAAAUUAUGGGAUGAGUUAGCUUGUCUCAAACCACUGCUAGUGUGUAAAUGUGGAGCAUCUAAAAAAAUGGAUGAUAUUAACAGUGAACAUAAGCUUAUUUAAUUUCUAAUGGGGUUAAAUGAAACAUAUGACAAUGUUAGAAACCAGAUUCUUUUAAUGAACCCCUUGCCUAGUGUUAACAGGGCAUACUCAAUGGUGUUGUAGGUGGAGAAACGAAAGGAAAUCCAUGAUGAUUUUGUUGAUGAGCUCAACUCUAUCAUGACUGUCAAAGGGCAAUACCAGAAAGAUAAACUUUAGAAUAAGAAAAAGGGUUAUGGCAAGAAGGAAGGGAAAUUUUGUGAUCACUACAAUACUAAUGGCCAUACCAGAGAUUCAUGCUUUAAACCCCAUGGUUAACUCAAACAAAAGAAAGGCAAAGGCAAGGCACCACUAGCAACUAAUGUGUUUGAGAAAGUACCUAAAGGAGAUGGCAAAGCAGAUUAUAAGAGUUAACUAGCUGGAAUUGACUAAGCCAGCAUGAUACAGUAGGAGAUUGCAAAGUUCAUGCAAACCAGAAUCCUACAAUGAAUGAGGCAAGCUGUGUCAACUUCACUGGUUUUGCAGGACCAAGUGACUAAGGAAGUGGUGGCAAGAGGUAAGAUGCUGGGGGGGACUAUACAUUAUAAGCAAUAGGUCUUUUAAAAAUAAGUGUAGUCAUGAAGUUUUUGAUGAUGUACCUGCUUCAAAAUCCUAUUGUACUGCAUAUAAAAUGAAUGAAGUUAAUCUUUCUCCAAAUUCUUAUGA